rnacentral:rRNA from 1 species
UACGUAGGGGGCAAGCGUUGUCCGGAUUUAUUGGGCGUAACGAGCGUGUAGGCGGUCAGGUAGGUCCGUUGUGAAAACUGGAGGCUCAACCUCCAGACGGCGACGGAAACCGUAUGGCUAGAGUCCGGAAGAGGAGAGUGGAAUUCCUGGUGUAGCGGUGAAAUGCGCAGAUAUCAGGAAGAACACCAAUGGCGAAGGCAGCUCUCUGGGACGGUACUGACGCUGAGACGCGAAAGCGUGGGGAGCGAACAGG